GUAGGUGGCAAGCGUUGUCCGGGGAAUUAUUGGGGCGUAAAAGCGACGCGCAAGGCGGUUCGUUUAAAGUCGUGAUGUGAAAGCCCAACGGGCUCAAACCGUGGAGGGUCAGUUGGAAACUGGAGAACUUGAGUACAGAAGAGGAGAGCGGAAUUCCACGUGUAGCGGUGAAAUGCGUAGAGAUGUGGAGGAACACCAGUGGCGAAGGCGGCUUUCUGGUCUGUAACUGACGCUGAGGCGCGAAAGCGUGGGGAGCAAACAGGAUUAGAUACCCUGGUAGUCCACGCCGUAAACGAUGAGUGCUAAGUGUAGGGGGUUUCCGCCCCUUAGUGCUGCAGCUAACGCAUUAAGCACCCCGCCUGGGGAGUACGGCCGCAAAGGCUG
rnacentral:rRNA from 1 species